rnacentral:sRNA from 1 species
AGCAACUCCAGAGCCUCCUUCAAGAUGCUGCUUGUCCUGCUCUCAGUGGUCCUUCUGGCUCUGAGCUCAGCUCAGAGCACAGAUAAUGAUGUGAUCUAUGAAGACUUUACUUCCACCACACCAGAUGCAGAGGACUCAAGUCAGAGGCCAGAUCAGGGACUCCAGAGACCUCCUCCUGAAGGACUCCUACCUAGAACCCCUGGUGAUAGUGGUAACCAAGAUGAUGGUCCUCAGCAGAGACCACCACAACCAGGAGGCCAUCACCGCCAUCCUCCCCCACCUCCUUUUCAAAAUCAACAAAGACCACCCCGACAAGGAGGCCGUCACCUCUCUCUACCCCAAUUUCCUCCUGUCAGCGUGGAGGAAGUAUCAUCAUUCUUCCAGAGGGACAGACCACAAAGACAUCCCCAGGACCAGCCACUCUGGUAAUCUAGAAUUCAGUGACAGGUAUGAUUCCAGUUCAUUCUCCAUUAAAUGCCCAAACUGCUACCAUUCUCAAA